rnacentral:lncRNA from 1 species
AGAUGGGGGUCUCACCACCUUGCCCAGGCUAAUCGCGAACUCCUGAGCUCAAGCGAUCCUCCAAUUACAGCCUCUCAAAGGGCUGGGAUUAUAUGCGUGAGCCACCAUGCCAAGCCUGGUAUGCUCUUUAAAUGAAAGCCCUCUUCUCUUUUCCCCAUGAAUUGUGUACCCUAGCUUUUUCUCCAUCAAUUAUAGAUUUAGGUGAUC